UACGUAGGGGGCUAGCGUUGUCCGGAAUCAUUGGGCGUAAAGCGCGUGUAGGCGGUUCGGUAAGUCUGCUGUGAAAGUCGGGGGCUCAACCCUCGAAUGCCGGUGGAUACUGUCGGACUAGAGUGCGGAAGAGGCGAGUGGAAUUCCUGGUGUAGCGGUGAAAUGCGCAGAUAUCAGGAAGAACACCAACGGCGAAGGCAGCUCGCUGGGACGGAACUGACGCUGAGGCGCGAAAGCGUGGGGAGCGAACAGG
rnacentral:rRNA from 1 species